UUAUACAGCGAAACUGCGAAUGGCUCAUUAUAUAAGUUAUCGUUUAUUUGAUAGUACCUUACUACUUGGAUAACCGUGGUAAUUCUAGAGCUAAUACAUGCUAAAAAGCCCGACUUCGGAAGGGUUGUAUUUAUUAGAUUAAAAACCAAUGCCCUCUGGGCUCCUUGGUGAUUCAUGAUAACUCCUCGAAUCGCAUGGCCUUGCGCCGGCGAUGGUUCAUUCAAAUUUCUUCCCUAUCAACUUUCGAUGUUUGGGUAGUGGCCAAACAUGGUUGCAACGGGUAACGGAGGGUUAGGGCUCGACCCCGGAGAAGGAGCCUGAGAAACGGCUACUACAUCCAAGGAAGGCAGCAGGCGCGCAAAUUACCCAAUCCCGACACGGGGAGGUAGUGACAAUAAAUACUGAUACAGGGCUCUUUUGGGUCUUGUAAUUGGAAUGAGUACAAUUUAAAUCCCUUAACGAGGAACAAUUGGAGGGCAAGUCUGGUGCCAGCAGCCGCGGUAAUUCCAGCUCCAAUAGCGUAUAUUAAAGUUGUUGUGGUUAAAAAGCUCGUAGUUGAACCUUGGGCCUGGCUGGCCGGUCCGCCUCACCGCGUGUACUGGUCCGGCCGGGCCUUUCCCUCUGUGGAACCCCAUGCCCUUCACUGGGUGUGGCGGGGAAACAGGACUUUUACUUUGAAAAAAUUAGAGUGCUCCAGGCAGGCCUAUGCUCGAAUACAUUAGCAUGGAAUAAUAGAAUAGGACGUGCGGUUCUAUUUUGUUGGUUUCUAGGACCGCCGUAAUGAUUAAUAGGGACAGUCGGGGGCAUCAGUAUUCAAUUGUCAGAGGUGAAAUUCUUGGAUUUAUUGAAGACUAACUACUGCGAAAGCAUUUGCCAAGGAUGUUUUCAUUAAUCAGGAACGAAAGUUAGGGGAUCGAAGACGAUCAGAUACCGUCGUAGUCUUAACCAUAAACUAUGCCGACUAGGGAUCGGACGAU
rnacentral:rRNA from 1 species